GGGCCUAUAGCUCAGCCUGGUUAGAGCGCAUCCCUGAUAAGGAUGAGGUCGUUAGUUCAAAUCUAACUAGGCCCACUA
rnacentral:tRNA from 1 species